rnacentral:rRNA from 1 species
CUACGGGCGGCACCAGUGAGGAAUAUUGCACAAUGGAGGAAACUCUGAUGCAGCAACGCCGCGUGGAGGAUGACGCAUUUCGGUGUGUAAACUCCUUUUAUAUGUCAAGAAAAUGACGGUAGCAUAUGAAUAAGCUCCGGCUAACUCCGUGCCAGCAGCCGCGGUAAUACGGAGGGAGCAAGCGUUACUCGGAAUCACUGGGCGUAAAGGACGCGUAGGCGGGAUAGAAAGUCAGGUGUGAAAUCCUAUGGCUCAACCAUAGAACUGCACUUGAAACUUCUAACCUAGAGUAUGGGAGGGGAAGAUGGAAUUAGUGGUGUAGGGGUAAAAUCCGUAGAUAUCACUAGGAAUACCAAAAGCGAAGGCGAUCUUCUGGAACAAUACUGACGCUAAGGCGCGAAAGCGUGGGGAGCAAACAGGAUUAGAUACCCUUGUAGUC